rnacentral:rRNA from 1 species
UAGGGAAUCUUCCACAAUGGACGAAAGUCUGAUGGAGCAACGCCGCGUGAGUGAAGAAGGGUUUCGGCUCGUAAAACUCUGUUGUUAAAGAAGAACAUAUCUGAGAGUAACUGUUCAGGUAUUGACGGUAUUUAACCAGAAAGCCACGGCUAACUACGGGAGGCAG